rnacentral:piRNA from 1 species
UUGAAGGGCACCUGGAUUCUUUCCAGCUUC